rnacentral:rRNA from 1 species
GUCGAGAAUCUUCCCCAAUGGGCGAAAGCCUGAGGGAGCGACGCCGCGUGAGGGAUGAAGGCCCUUUGGGUUGUAAACCUCUGUUAGGGGGAAAGAAAAGCAGUGGAAGCAAUAUGUCCAUUGCCUGACGUUACCCCCAGAGAAAGCUCCGGCCAACUCCGUGCCAGCAGCCGCGGUAAUACGGGGGGAGCAAGCGUUGUCCGGAAUCAUUGGGCGUAAAGGGCGUGUAGGCGGCUUGGCAAGUCGAAUGUGAAAUCCCACGGCUCAACCGUGGAACUGCGUUCGAAACUGCGUUGCUUGAGUGCGGGGGAGGUGUGCGGAAUGCCUGGUGUAGCGGUGGAAUGCGUAGAUAUCAGGAAGAACACCGGUGGCGAAGGCGGCACACUGGCCCAGCACUGACGCUGAGGUGCGAAAGCGUGGGGAGCAAACAGGAUUAGAAACCUUGUAGUCC